rnacentral:lncRNA from 1 species
GAAUGCCGUUUUUUUUUCUACUCUCCGGUUCAGUAAAAAACCGACCGAGUCACCGGUUUUGAGGUAAACCGACCGAGUCAUUCCGGUUCUUACCGGUUCAAUUGCAUGGCCGAUCCGAUCCUCGACUCGAACCGCUCAGGUGACCGAUUCCCGGUCGGACCGGUUCAACCGGCCGGUCCGAGCCGAGUUUUAUAACACUG